rnacentral:rRNA from 1 species
UACGGAGGGUGCAAGCGUUAUCCGGAUUUACUGGGUUUAAAGGGUGCGUAGGUGGGUAAGUAAGUCAGUGGUGAAAUCUUCAAGCUUAACUUGGAAACUGCCAUUGAUACUAUUUAUCUUGAAUACUUUGGAGGUAAGCGGAAUAUGUCAUGUAGCGGUGAAAUGCUUAGAUAUGACAUAGAACACCAAUUGCGAAGGCAGCUUACUACACAGUUAUUGACACUGAGGCACGAAAGCGUGGGGAUCAAACAGG